GUGAACGCUGGCGGCAUGGAUUAGGCAUGCAAGUGGGACGCCCCGCAAGGGGAGUCGCGAAAGGGUGAGUAACACGUGAACAAUCUGCCCUGAAGUUGGGAACAACCUUUGGAAACGAAGGCUAAUACCUGAUGUGGAUGGGGCCGGGAUUCCGGCUCUAUAGAAAGGCGCAAGCCGCUUCGGGAUGAGUUCGCGGCCCAUAAGCUAGUUGGCGAGGUAACGGCUCACCAAGGCAAUGACGGGUAGGUGGUCUGAGAGGAUGGUCACCCACACUGGUACUGAGACACUGACCAGACUCCUGCGGGAGGCUGCAGUCGAGAAUCUUCCGCAAUGCGCGAAAGCGUGACGGAGCAAUGCCGCGUGAAGGAUGAAGGUCUUCGGAUUGUAAACUUCUGUCGGGGGGGACGAACAAUGACGGUACCCCCAAAGGAAGCCACGGCUAACUACGU
rnacentral:rRNA from 1 species